rnacentral:rRNA from 1 species
CGGAGGAUCCAAGCGUUGUCCAGAUUUAUUGGGUUUAAAGGGUGCGUAGGUGGAUAAUUAAGUCAGGGGUGAAAGCCUGCAGCUCAACUGUAGAACUGCCCUUGAAACUGAUUAUCUUGAAUGUGGUUGAGGUAGGCGGAAUGUGUCAUGUAGCGGUGAAAUGCUUAGAUAUGAUACAGAACACCAAUUGCGAAGGCAGCUUACUAAACCAUUAUUGACACUGAGGCACGAAAGCAUGGGGAGCAAACAGGAUUAGAUACCCUGGUAGUCCAUGCCCUAAACGUUGAUAACUCGUUGUUGGCGAUAUACAGUCAGCGACUAAGCGAAAGCGUUAAGUUAUCCACCUGGGGAUACGUCCGCAAGGAUG